rnacentral:rRNA from 1 species
UGGUUUUACGGUGGAGAGUCUGUUUUAGAAAUAAUUAAUAAAGUUAACUUUUAAGUGAAAAGGCUUAGAUUUUUAUAAAAGACGAGAAGACCCCGUCGAGCUUAAUUAGGUCUAAAUACUUUAGUAUUAGUUUGAAAUUUUGUUGGGGCAACAGAAGAUGAAGUGAAUCAUUUUCUUUUUGGAUAUAGAUCCAAUUUUUGUGAUUGAAAAAAGCAAAAGCUACCGCGGGGAUAACAGGGUAAUUUUCUUUGAGAGUUCGAAUUUAAGAGAAAGUUUGCUACCUCGAUGUUGGAUUAAGGUUUCUUUAUGCUUGCAGCAGGUAUAAUAGUAGGACUGUUC